AGAGUUUGAUCCUGGCUCAGGACGAACGCUGGCGGCGUGCUUAACACAUGCAAGUCGAGCGGAAAGGCCCUUUCGGGGGUACUCGAGCGGCGAACGGGUGAGUAACACGUGAGCAACCUGCCUCUGACUUUGGGAUAACCCUCGGAAACGGGGGCUAAUACCGGAUAUGACGCCUCGGGGCAUCUUGGGGUGUGGAAAGUUUUUCGGUCAGGGGAUGGGCUCGCGGCCUAUCAGCUUGUUGGUGGGGUGAUGGCCUACCAAGGCGACGACGGGUAGCCGGCCUGAGAGGGCGACCGGCCACACUGGGACUGGGACACGGCCCAGACUCCUACGGGAGGCAGCAGUGGGGAAUAUUGCACAAUGGGCGGAAGCCUGAUGCAGCGACGCCGCGUGAGGGAUGACGGCCUUCGGGUUGUAAACCUCUUUCGACAGGGACGAAGCGUGAGUGACGGUACCUGUAGAAGAAGCGCCGGCCAACUACGUG
rnacentral:rRNA from 1 species